rnacentral:rRNA from 1 species
UACGGAGGGUGCAAGCGUUAAUCGGAAUUACUGGGCGUAAAGCGCACGCAGGUGGCUGAGAAAGUCGGUUGUGAAAGCCCUGGGCUUAACCUGGGAAGUGCAGUCGAAACUACUCGGCUAGAGUAUGGGAGAGGGUAGUGGAAUUCCCGGUGUAGCGGUGAAAUGCGUAGAUAUCGGGAGGAACAUCAGUGGCGAAGGCGGCUACCUGGCCCAAUACUGACACUCAGGUGCGACAGCGUGGGGAGCAAACAGG